AAUAUACUCCCUCCGUCCCAAAAUUCUUGUCUUAGAUUUUUCUAGAUACAGAUGAACCUAAAAUGUGACUUGAUACAUCCGUAUUUAGACAAAUCUAAGACAAGAAUUUUGGGACAGAGAGAGUAGCUU
rfam:Triticum aestivum genome assembly, contig: Triticum_aestivum_CS42_TGACv1_scaffold_271525_3DS